GUGAAGCGGAGGAGGAGGAGCAUGAAACAAGAAGUGUGUCAGGCCUGCAUAAAACCCUGUCGACCGGAGAGGAGGCAGAGAAGGCAAGGUUGUUACUAGCUACAGAAGUAGCAUUAAAGGUGCUUGCUGGUGAAGCAAGGAGUAAAUACCGUGUGACAGGAGCCCAACCAAAAUAAAACAAACAAUCGGGGCAUAUUGAGUUGGUAAGUAUAGUAUGAAGGUCUGCUAUACUUUAAUGGAGCAUGGAAGAGGGGCAAACAUACUUGGUGGGCAGGGAAAAUAUUCAAUGUGCUGUGAAGGUUACGGAGAUGCCAUAAUACAAUUAUAGAUCACAUAAUUAAAGUCGACUUUUAUUCUGAAACAGUCAAAGGGCAUAUUCCGGAGAGGAAGAGAAGGCAAGGUUGUUACUAGCUACAGAAGGAGCAUUAAAGGUGCUUGCUGGUGAAGCAAAGAGUAAAUACCGUGUGACAGGAGCCCAACCAAAAUAAAAUAAAACAAUCGGGAACAUCAGGGCAUAUCGAGUUGACUUGCAGCAAUGGUCACAAUGAUAGAUUUUGCAUCCAGGAAACAAUUAACAGAACCCAUGUAGGGGAUGUAAAGUUAGCCACCUCCAUAUUUGUAUCGGGCAACAAUUUCCUAAAGGUCUGGCACAUGUUGGAGGUGAUGGGCCUGCAUCCUAUCUCCAGCAGGCUUUUCCACUCGAUGCAGAGCCACUACAUUUGCCCAGAGGUGGAGGACACCUUCAACAACUAUUUAAGCGAGAAGGGCAAUGAACUCAAGGAGAAACAUGUUGUGGUGUGUGGUGAUACGAGGAACGACUCGCCAGGAUUUAGUGCACAGUACUGCACGUACACACUAUUGGAGGAGGAAAGUAAGGAUAUUGUCCAUGUCGAGUUUAUGGACAAGCGAGAGGCAGGGGACAAGAGUCCAUAUAUGUGGAUAUCGAUCCUGAUAAAACAUGUGCUACUUGCACUUCUUGAAAGGGAGGAAGAUUUCAACAACAGACACUAAAUUGUUUGAAUACAAAUAUAUAAUUUCUACAGUAAAUGUGGUUAACAAUAUGGACACGGAGCGAAUCUUUGUAUCUGAUAGCAAAGCAUUUGCCUGAAGAUAGAAUUGUGGACAUCGAUCCUGAUAAAACGUGUGCAACUGUGCACUUCUUGAAAGGGAAGAAGAUGCCAACAACAGACAUUCAAUUUGUUGAAUACAAAUACAUAAUUUCUACAGUAAAUGUGGUUAACAAUAUGGAAACGGAGCAAAUCUUUGUUACUUAUAGCAAAACAUUUGCUUGAAGAUAGAAUUGUGGACAUCGAUCCUGAUAAAACGUGUGCAACUGUGCACUUCUUGAAAGGGAGGAAGAUGCCAACAACAGACACUCAAUUGGUUGAAUACAAAUAUAUAAUUUCUACAGUAAAUGUGGUUCUCCACUUGUCCAUUUCCAUUCUACAACCCAGCCAGAUAUUCUGGUUCAAUGGAAAAGAUAUGGAGUCAAUACUAUCAAUAUGAAAGACCUCCACAUAACUUCAAAACAAAAACACGUAAAAAAAGGCAGAAGAGCGUGGAAGAGGGGCAGACAUACUUGGUGGGCAGGGAAAAUAUGCAAUGUGCUGUGAAGGUUACGGAGAUGCCAUAAUACAAUUAUAGAUCACAUAAUUAAAGUCGACUUUUAUUCUGAAACAGUCAAAGGGCAUAUUCCGGAGAGGAAGAGAAGGCAAGGUUGUUACUAGCUACAGAAGGAGCAUUAAAGGUGCUUGUUGGUGAAGCAAGGAGUAAAUACCGUGUGACAGGAGCCCAACCAAAAUAAAAUAAACAAUCAGGAACAUCAGGGCAUAUUGAGUUGGUAAGUAUAGUAUGAAGGUCUGCUAUACUUUAAUGGAUGUUAAUGAUUUAGUAGAGGUAAAAUUAAUGUUAAUGAUAUAGAGGUAAAUUAUAUUUGUUUCUACUGAUAAUUUUACCGAUGUGUUCAAGUCACCCACAUUAAUAAAUGAACCUUCAAACUUUAAUUAACAAUGAAAACAAGACCCAGCUCACUCGUCCGUCAUUUCUCAUCAUGGAUCUACACAAGACGGCUCCCAUCACAUCAAUUUUCCAAAAUUAUCCAAUCAAAGGUGCCAUAAUUACUAGUUCAUCAUAUUAUAUCACUCUAAUUAACUGUUAUUGUAAUAUUUAUCAUAUUCCAUAUCUCCACGAUUCUUUUUCUUCUGUUCACUUUUUUGUUUUGAAAAUUUCGAAAUAAUCAUCAAUGAAAUUCAGAGAGGGGGGCCGUGGCACAUAUUCGAAAAUGUGAUUGGCACGUGCGAAAUCUGGAAAUUUUAGGUGAGUACAUGUACUAAAAAUAGUUCAGUGGGAAGCAAGUUUCAGAUGUUGUUGCUGAUGAACUAAAAAUGAGGUGUAAUGAGGGUAAUCAGUAACAUAAAUAUCAAAAAAAUAAAAGUAGACUAGUAGACUCAAUUGAUUUUUUAAAGGGAUUAUUUGGACUUCCACAGACUUGCAGCAAUGGUCACAAUGAUAGAUUUUGCAUCCAGGAAACAAUUAACAGAACCCAUGUAGGGGAUGUAAAGUUAGCCACCUCCAUAUUUGUAUCGGGCAACAAUUUCCUAAAGGUCUGGCACAUGUUGGAGGUGAUGGGCCUGCAUCCUAUCUCCAGCAGGCUUUUCCACUCGAUGCAGAGCCAUUACAUUUGCCCAGAGGUGGAGGACACCUUCAACAACUAUUUAAGCGAGAAGGGCAAUGAACUCAAGGAGAAAGAUGUUGUGGUGUGUGGUGAGUAAACAUUUAUUUGAAUAUUGACUCAUUAUUAUUGAGUAUUACGUUUGUUGUGAAGAGGAAGAAACUGUGCACUUGGAAGGAAAAUCAAAGUUUUAUUAUUUUUCCUUUCUCUUUUUACAGCUGAGAUCUCAACAAUACAAUUUUCUGCAGUCAUCUUCAUUGAAAACUUUUUUCUUUUCUCUUUUAUGUAGGUGAUGCGAGGAACGACUCGCCAGGAUUUAGUGCACAGUACUGCACGUACACACUAUUGGAGGAGGAAAGUAAGGAUAUUGUCCAUGUCGAGUUUAUGGACAAGCGAGAGGCAGGGGACAAGAGUCCAUAUAUGUGGAUAUCGAUCCUGAUAAAACAUGUGCUACUUGCACUUCUUGAAAGGGAGGAAGAUUUCAACAACAGACACUAAAUUGGUUGAAUACAAAUAUAUAAUUUCUGCAGUAAAUGUGGUUAACAAUAUGGACACGGAGCGAAUCUUUGUAUCUGAUAGCAAAGCAUUUGCCUGAAGAUAGAAUUGUGGACAUCGAUCCUGAUAAAAUGUGUGCAACUGUGCACAUCUUGAAAGGGAAGAAGAUGCCAACAACAGACAUUCUAUUUGCAGAGCUAUUGCCAAGACCCUGCAAUGAAUAGAUGUGGGGGAGGAAGUAUUCGGCAUAGAAAGUGAAGCGGAGGAGGAGGAGCAUGAAACAAGAAGUGUGUCAGGCCUGCAUAAAACCCUGUCGACCGGAGAGGAGGCAGAGAAGGCAAGGUUGUUACUAGCUACAGAAGUAGCAUUAAAGGUGCUUGCUGGUGAAGCAAAGAGUAAAUACCGUGUGACAGGAGCCCAACCAAAAUAAAAUAAAACAAUCGGGAACAUCAGGGCAUAUCGAGUUGGUAAGUAUAGUAUGAAGGUCUGCUAUACUUUAAUGGAUGUUAAUGAUUUAGUAGAGGUAAAAUUAAUGUUAAUGAUAUAGAGGUAAAUUAUGUUUGUUUUCACUGAUAAUUUUACCGAUGUGUUCAAGUUACCCCCAUUAACAAUUGAACCUUCAACGAACUUACAAUGAAAACAAGACCAAGCUCGUCCGUCAUUUCUCAUCACGGAUCUACACAAGACGGCUCCCAUCACAUCAAUUUUCCAAAAUUAUCCAAUCAAAGGUGCCAUAAUCACCAGUUCAUCAUAUUAUAUCACUCUCAUUAACUGUUAUUGUAAUAUUUAUCAUAUUCCAUAUCUCCACGAUUCUUUUUCUUCUGUUCACUUUUUUGUUUUUUUUGAAAAUUUCGAAAUAAUCAUCAAUGAAAUUCAGAGAGGGGGGUCGUGGCACAUAUUCGAAAAUGUGAUUGGCACGUGCGAAAUCUGGAAAUUUUAGGUGAGUACAUGUACUAAAAAUAGUUCAGUGGGAAGCAAGUUUCAGAUGUUGUUGCUGAUGAACUAAAAAUGAGGUGUAAUGAGGGUAAUCAGUAACAUAAAUAUCAUAAAAAUAAAAGUAGACUAGUAAACUCAAUUGAUUUUUUAAAGGGAUUAUUUGGACUUUCCUUCCACAGACUUGCAGCAAUGGUCACAAUGAUAGAUUUUGCAUCCAGGAAACAAUUAACAGAACCCAUGUAGGGGAUGUAAAGUUAGCCACCUCCAUAUUUGUAUCGGGCAACAAUUUCCUAAAGGUCUGGCACAUGUUGGAGGUGAUGGGCCUGCAUCCUAUCUCCAGCAGGCUUUUCCACUCGAUGCAGAGCCACUACAUUUGCCCAGAGGUGGAGGACACCUUCAACAACUAUUUAAGCGAGAAGGGCAAUGAACUCAAGGAGAAAGAUGUUGUGGUGUGUGGUGAGUAAACAUUUAUUUGAAUAUUGACUCAUUAUUAUUGAGUAUUACGUUUGUUGUGAAGAGGAAGAAACUGUGCACUUGGAAGGAAAAUCAAAGUUUAUUAUUUUUCCUUUCUCUUUUUACAGCUGAGAUCUCAACAAUACAAUUUUCUGCAGUCAUCUUCAUUGAAAACUUUUUUCUUUACUCUUUUAUGUAGGUGAUACGAGGAACGACUCGCCAGGAUUUAGUGCACAGUACUGCACGUACACACUAUUGGAGGAGGAAAGUAAGGAUAUUGUCCAUGUCGAGUUUAUGGACAAGCGAGAGGCAGGGGACAAGAGUCCAUAUAUGUGGAUAUCGAUCCUGAUAAAACAUGUGCUACUUGCACUUCUUGAAAGGGAGGAAGAUUUCAACAACAGACACUAAAUUGUUUGAAUACAAAUAUAUAAUUUCUACAGUAAAUGUGGUUAACAAUAUGGACACGGAGCGAAUCUUUGUAUCUGAUAGCAAAGCAUUUGCCUGAAGAUAGAAUUGUGGACAUCGAUCCUGAUAAAACGUGUGCAACUGUGCACUUCUUGAAAGGGAGGAAGAUGCCAACAACAGACACUCAAUUGGUUGAAUACAAAUAUAUAAUUUCUACAGUAAAUGUGGUUCUCCACUUGUCCAUUUCCAUUCUACAACCCAGCCAGAUAUUCUGGUUCAAUGGAAAAGAUAUGGAGUCAAUACUAUCAAUAUGAAAGACCUCCACAUAACUUCAAAACAAAAACACGUAAAAAAGGCAGAAGAGCGUGGAAGAGGGGCAGACAUACUUGGUGGGCAGGGAAAAUAUGCAAUGUGCUGUGACGGUUACGGAGAUGCCAUAAUACAAUUAUAGAUCACAUAAUUAAAGUCGACUUUUAUUCUGAAACAGUCAAAGGGCAUAUUCCGGAGAGGAGGCAGAAAAGCAAUUGAAGAAAAUCUAGUUCUCAACUGUACGAUCUGCCCAGUUACAGGUAGCAAGGAAAUAAUUUUACCUAUAAAGGCCGCUAACUUUCUAGCGGUAGUGUGUGGUAAUUCUGUGAUCAUAUCGUUUAUGCAAUCCAAAAUAUUGACAAUUCUCUGAUCUGAUGCAUGUAAAGUGCCACUUUUAGAAUCCCAAGUUAAACCAAGCCAAUCAAUUUUCUGAGUAGGUAUCCAUACUGACUUCUCUACGUUAGGCACUAAACGCGCAUUCAAUAAGUCAUUUCUGACUGCUGUGGCAAUAUCUUCACAUUCUUGAAGGAGGAUGCUCUAAUCCAUCCAUCAUCUAGAAAUACAACUACAAAAACAUGUUUGUUUCUCCAAUGCUUGACAAGAGGUCUAAUUGUUUUAGUGAAAAUAUAUGGAGCAGAGGACAAGCCAAAAGGAAGUACCUUAAAAGAGAAAUAUCUAAUAAUUCCGUUGAAGUUCCAACUGAAACAAAUAUUUACAAUGUUCUUCAAAUAUAUCAAUAUGGUGAUAUCCCGACUUAAGGUCAAAGGAAACCAUGUAGUCACCCUUUUGAAAGUAUUCCAGUGCUACAUUCCAGUCUUCAAAGCAUACCUUUUGUUUCCAAACGUAUUGAUUAAUAUAUCUUAAAUCUAAGAUAAGGCACUUC